UUUCGAAUCAUUCACAAUGGGCGAAAGCCUGAUGGUGCGACGCCGCGUGAGGGAUGAAGGCCUUCGGGUUGUAAACCUCUGUCACCGGGGAAGAAACGCUUCAAGUUAACAGCUUGAAGCCUGACUUAACCCGGAGAGGAAGCAGUGGCUAACUCUGUGCCAGCAGCCGCGGUAAUACAGAGACUGCAAGCGUUAUUCGGAUUCACUGGGCGUAAAGGGCGCGUAGGCGGCAUGACAAGUCACUUGUGAAAUCUCUGGGCUUAACCCAGAACGGCCAAGUGAUACUGUCGCGCUAGAGUGCAGAAGGGGCAAUCGGAAUUCUUGGUGUAGCGGUGAAAUGCGUAGAUAUCAAGAGGAACACCUGAGGUGAAGACGGGUUGCUGGGCUGACACUGACGCUGAGGCGCGAAAGCCAGGGGAGCAAACGGGAUUAGAUACCCUCGUAGUCCCUGAGCGGGCUGGCAAGGCGCAU
rnacentral:rRNA from 1 species